rnacentral:rRNA from 1 species
GCCUACGGGGGGCAGCAGUGGGGAAUAUUGCACAAUGGGGGGAGCCCUGAUGCAGCGACGCCGCGUGGGUGAAGGAGUACUUCGGUACGUAAAGCCCUAUCAGCAGGAAAGAAAAUGACGGUACCUGACUAAGAAGCCCCGGCUAACUACGUGCCAGCAGCCGCGGUAAUACGUAGGGAGCAAGCGUUAUCCGGAUCUAUUGGGUGUAAAGGGUGCGUAGACGGGAAAUUAAGUUAGUUGUGAAAUCCCUCGGCUCAACUGAGGAACUGCAACUAAAACUGGUUUUCUUGAGUGUUGGAGAGGAA